rnacentral:rRNA from 1 species
UACGAAGGGGGGCUAGCGUUGCUCGGAAUCACUGGGCGUAAAGCGCACGUAGGCGGUUUCUUAAGUCAGGGGUGAAAUCCUGGAGCUCAACUCCAGAACUGCCUUUGAUACUGGGAGACUUCGAGUCCGGGAGAGGUGAGUGGAACUGCGAGUGUAGAGGUGAAAUUCGUAGAUAUUCGCAAGAACACCAGUGGCGAAGGCGGCUCACUGGCCCGGUACUGACGCUGAGGUGCGAAAGCGUGGGGAGCAAACAGG